AAUAUUUUUAAGAUUGUUAUUUAUUAAAUGUUUAUAUUCUUAAAUAUAUUUUAUAAAAUGACCAUUAAAAUAUUUAUAAAUAGGAAUGAAGGAAUAAAAAUCCGUCUCUUCAUCGUAUAUGUAGCUAUCAUCCUUGGAAAUGCGAUAUUUUUGUAAUUACGCGCAAUUAUAUUGUAUUUGUUUUUUCCUUCUGUAUAGCUAUAAAUCUGCGUUCUCAAAUGAAAUAUAUAAUUUUUGUGAGAAACGUACACAAAAGACCUAUUGCAUAAUAAUUUUUAUCGCGUGCAUCAGCAUAUAUUCAAGUCUAAAUUAAAAUUUAUAAUUUGCUAUACAACAUUCACAGAGAUCAUUGAAUCUGACGAUUAUGACACGUUAAAUUUUCUUAAUCUUUUGUUUCACAUUCCUUACAAGAAUUCUUUAUAAGGGUAAAUCCUUUUGUUGCAUUGGAUAAUAUAGUUAAUAAAAAAAAUAUUGUAUGCGAGUAUCUAUAAAAUUAUUUCUAAAGUAUAAUAUCUGUUUAAUAUUAAUCUUUUUCUGGUUCACAUUUUUGUAUUCAAUAUAAUUGAUGUAUGAUGUGAAUUUUUAUAUUAUCUUUGUUGUGUAUACAUAUUUCACAUGCGCGUAUAAAAUAGAUGUUAUAGUUUAUCAUAUCUAAGCUCUUUGACAACUGCAUACUUCAAUAAUGUUAUACAGCUUCAUCCCAAUAUUGUCACAAUUGGUGAAAAGAUUUCCAAGAAUCUUUAUAUUUUAUAAUAUUAAAUAUAAACUUUUUUUCUCCAUAGUGGUUAUAUCCUUGAAGAACGGAAGACUAUUUAUAUAACAUGGACAUGUUUUUCUAUAUAUGUAGAUUUACCUAAUUUGGACUAUAGCCUGAAUUAUUUUAAUCUUUUACAAAUUACACAAGAUUUGUCCUUUCACGCAUAAAGAAGUACAACUUAAAAUAAAAUCAAUUAAUAUGA